rnacentral:rRNA from 1 species
AGUGAACGCUGGCGGUAGGCCUAACACAUGCAAGUCGAACGGCAGCACAGUAAGAGCUUGCUCUUACGGGUGGCGAGUGGCGGACGGGUGAGGAAUACAUCGGAAUCUACUUUUUCGUGGGGGAUAACGUAGGGAAACUUACGCUAAUACCGCAUACGUCCUACGGGUGAAAGCAGGGGAUCUUCGGAUCUUGCGCGAUUGAAUGAGCCGAUGUCGGAUUAGCUAGUUGGCGGGGUAAAGGCCCACCAAGGCGACGAUCCGUAGCUGGUCUGAGAGGAUGAUCAGCCACACUGGAACUGAGACACGGUCCAGACUCCUACGGGAGGCAGCAGUGGGGAAUAUUGGACAAUGGGCGCAAGCCUGAUCCAGCCAUACCGCGUGGGUGAAGAAGGCCUUCGGGUUGUAAAGCCCUUUUGUUGGGAAAGAAAAGCAGCAGGUUAAUACCCCGCUGUUCUGACGGUACCCAAAGAAUAAGCACCGGCUAACUUCGUG